rnacentral:lncRNA from 1 species
CUCAGAGCCUGUCUGGCCAGCAGGUUGAGGAAUAUUCCAACAACGUCCUCAUUCCCUGAUCAAAGGAGCCGGGAUUGAACCUGCUGUAAUCAUCCGUCGGGGAGUUUGCUUAAAAUUCCCCUAAUUAUGGGAGAGCAGAAAAUUGCUACGCCUCAGACUGAAUAGAGAAAUCGAAGGCGCCCUGCUCCCAGCUGCCUGGGGGGGAGACACGCCAGCAUGGGAAGCGAAGGCGGGGGUGGGGAGGCGAGGGGCGACUGAAGAUGGGCGGUGGGAGGAGAACGGUGUUCCGGUCCGUGCCAGGGAGCGGGAGAGGAAGGGAAAGAGCCAGCCGCACUGGAGCUGUGGUGACUGGCUCAGCCCUGUUCCAGGCACGCUGAGUGGUCUAGAAGGAGAAGAGGACCAGAUCUCUGCCCUCAGAGGAUCUCCUUCUGAAAGGGGAGACUGGGUGAGCAUCUUAACUGAAAGUAAGAUUCGAAGGCGCCGUACACACCAGUGCCUGGCCCUCACAGUUUCCUGAGCUGUAGGAAGCGGGUGGGAGUGCGCUGAACUGCAUGGAUCAGAAGGGGAGGCUUGCUGGGCAGGCAAGUGCCAAGCAGAAGGAAGGGGCAAAGGAGGAAGGGACCAGAGAAGGGAGGGCAGAAUUCGAAGGAACCUUGCAUAAUAGAAGGGGAUUAUGGGGGCCAUGUUUUGGAUGAGGGGGCCAAGGCCCAGGGACGGGGGUUACUUGCCCAAACUCACACAGUCCAUCAGUGGCUGAACUGGGGCUAGUCUGGUGCGUUACAUGGCCAUGGAGGCAGAGGUUGGGAGUGGGGGCCUGGCCAGAAGGUGGGAUGCUGGAAAGAGUGUGGGGACUCGGGCUUAAAGAUCCUGCUGUAUCAGCAGUCCGUUUACUGACAAGUUGAUAUUGAUCCUACGGGACAAGCAGUGUUCUAAAGGGUCUCUUCUCUCCUUUGCUAGACCUGCCCCAUUCAUGAGCUCCCCGGGGUCCCCACCCCAACAGCUGCCCUACAGAGGAGAGAUGCAGCUGGUGCCCU